AUACCGCCUAUAUACCGCCGUCGUCAGCCUACCCUGUGAAGGACUAGAAGUGAGCAAGAUUGGUAAGACCCAAAACGUCAGGUCGAGGUGUAGUGUAUGAGAGGGGAAGAAAUGGGCUACAUUUCCUAAAUCAGGAAACACGAACAAUGAACUGAAACAAGCAUUUGAAGGUGGAUUUAGCAGUAAGCAAGAAAACAGAGUGUUCUGCUGAAACAUGGCAAUAAAGCACGCACAUAUCGCCCGUCACUCUCCCCGAGCUAAUACAAAUAUAAUACCUAAAAAAUUACAUCUGCAAAGGGGAGGCAAGUCGUAACAUGGUAAGCGUACCGGAAGGUGCGCUUGGAACAA
rnacentral:rRNA from 1 species